GAUUAAAAUGAAGAUGUCCCUCAUAUAAUCGCAAGAAUUGGCUUGCGAGUUUCUACCGGAUGACCGUAAAUCAUCCGACUACGAGUGGGCAAAAAGGCAAA
rnacentral:ncRNA from 1 species